rnacentral:rRNA from 1 species
GGACUACUAGGGUUUCUAAUCCCGUUCGAUUCCCACGCUUUCGUGUUUCAGCGUCAGAAACGCGCCAGUACAGUGCCUUCGCAUUUGGUGUUCCCCAUGAUAUCAACGGAUUUCACCCCUACACCAUGAGUUCCCUGUACCUCUCGCGCCCUCAAAGCACUGCCGUUUCUCCUGCAUUUUCUCGGUUAAGCCGAAAAACUUUAACAAAAGACUAACAAUGCCGCCUACACACCCUUUACGCCCAGUGAUUCCGGAUAAUGCUUGGGGCCUCUGUAUUACCGCGGCUGCUGGCAC